rnacentral:rRNA from 1 species
AGAGUUUGAUCAUGGCUCAGGAUGAACGCUGGCGGCGUGCCUAAUACAUGCAAGUCGAGCGGCAGCACGGUCUUCGGACUGGUGGCGAGCGGCGGACGGCUGAGUAACGCGUAGGAAUAUACCCCAAAGUGAGGGAUAACUGCCCGAAAGGUGGCUAAUACCGCAUGUGGUCUUCGGACUAAAGCCUUCGGGCGCUUUGGGAAUAGCCUGCGUAAGAUUAGCUAGUUGGUGAGGUAAUGGCUCACCAAGGCGACGAUCUUUAGCUGGUCUGAGAGGAUGACCAGCCAGACUGGAACUGAGACACGGUCCAGACUCCUACGGGAGGCAGCAGUAGGGAAUUUUCCACAAUGGGCGAAAGCCUGAUGGAGCAACGCCGCGUGCAGGAUGAAGGCCCUCGGGUCGUAAACUGCUUUUAUGUGCGAAGAAUAUGACGGUAACACAUGAAUAAGGGUCGGCUAACUACGUG